AUUCUUCCACACAUAAAGGGAAAACGGACUCACUAGGAGGACCUAGACUCUUUCAGCUUGAACUGUUAACCAAUGGUGGAAAUGCAAGAAUGCUGAAGUUGUGCCUUCGGAGCCAAUAGAGUGGAUUUGUGUGUCCCACAUGACUGUGUUUCCCCUGUCUUUCACAUGGGCAGUAUUUAGUUCAAUUCAGAACUGCAGAUAGUAUAGCGUGCAGAGCAGCAAUGGGAUGUCUGAGCACAAGUGGCUGACUUCCAGGCGUCUUCAGGAAGCACAUUUGUACAUUUCUCCUGAAUUAAACUGGGAUUCUGCACCCUUGACAUCCUACUACCCUCCUUGUCGCUGCAGAAGGAGACACCGACCUGCACAGCACAACAAAACUACAAAUCACCACAGAGCUGCAGACCAGCAAAUGAAGUGAACUGAGGGCAAUUUGACCAACAUCAUCUGUGUCGAUUCCCCAGAAGUCGAUGAAAUAUGUUACCGGGUCUCCAAGAAAGAAGUUUGGAAAACUGCCAGCUACUUGCACAGACUGAAAUAGGAUGGGCAAAGAAGGGUGUUGGUGUCGACAUUUGAGGAUGCUGUGAAGUCAAUGGAGUUCUGUUGUAGUGGUUGCUUCAGUGAACAUUCAACGCUGUCGGCCUUAACACCGAAGAUAGCAACCUAACCACCACAUGAUGUUUCUCCCCCACCCUGCCAAGCUUUACAAAAAAGGUCACAAUCAACAUUCAUUGCUGUCGGUGGGUUUAACUAUGUGGACAAGCUCACUGAACAAUGAAUGCAACUGUGGCCCCACAUUUUGCAGUUGCCGUUGAAACGAACAUCAGCUCUGAAAGCCGUAGUGAGAAGCAAACACUUCUUAUAGGCUACGUUUUUCUGGUCAAAAAAAUAGUUGGGGAUAUUCACUUUUUGCUUGCUUGUUUUUAAGUGUGUUUAACUUAGCUGACUGAAAAAAAAAUCACUGCCUUUUUCUGGAAUAUUGUCCUCCCAGUGUUCACAUAAACUAUAAAAAUUCUUAUUCAGUAUGUAUGUGGAAAUAAAUAAUAAUAUGGGGAACUUUGUGUAUCAUCCACUCCUAAGGACUCUGAGCAUAAGAGGAAAGAAUAUUUAAAUCUCAUUUUAACUAGGCAUUGUGGAAUAGUUCAAAAAUUUCUUCUACACUUGUCAUGACAAAUACAAAUGGGAGCCAGAGUUCAAAGAUACAGAUAAAAUGUUAUAUUAAAUAAAAGAUUCAUUAAUUUUACAUGAAACUGAUUUUAAGCACCUAAAUAGAUACUGUUAGACAGCAAAUACUAUUACAUUUGCCUUUUUUAGGGAUCUGAAAGAUGACAGAGAAAUGUAUAUCCAGUAAUAAUAAUGGAACAGUAGUUAAAUCAUAAAAUUACUGUAAACUUUGGGUACCUAUGUCACACUCUCAGUAUUGCUGAUCAUAAGAAAAUAAAAGUGUAAAUAAAGUU